rnacentral:rRNA from 1 species
GAUGAACGCUGGCGGCGUGCCUAAUACAUGCAAAUCGAGCGAACAGACGAGGAGCUUGCUCCUCUGACGUUAGCGGCGGACGGGUGAGUAACACGUGGAUAACCUACCUAUAAGACUGGGAUAACUUCGGGAAACCGGAGCUAAUACCGGAUAACAUGUUGAACCGCAUGGUUCAACAGUGAAAGACGGUCUUGCUGUCACUUAUAGAUGGAUCCGCGCCGCAUUAGCUAGUUGGUAAGGUAACGGCUUACCAAGGCAACGAUGCGUAGCCGACCUGAGAGGGUGAUCGGCCACACUGGAACUGAGACACGGUCCAGACUCCUACGGGAGGCAGCAGUAGGGAAUCUUCCGCAAUGGGCGAAAGCCUGACGGAGCAACGCCGCGUGAGUGAAGAAGGUCUUCGGAUCGUAAAACUCUGUUAUUAGGGAAGAACAAAUGUGUAAGUAACUAUGCACGUCUUGACGGUACCUAAUCAGAAAGCCACGGCUAACUACGUG